UACGUAGGGUCCGAGCGUUGUCCGGAAUUACUGGGCGUAAAGCGCGCGCAGGCGGCCCGCGAGGUGUCACGUGAAAGCCCCGGGCUCAACCCGGGAGGGUCGUGGCAAACCGGCGGGCUUGAGGCCGGUAGGGGUGGGUGGAACUCCUGGUGGAGUGGUGAAAUGCGUAGAGAUCAGGAAGAACACCCGUGGCGAAGGCGGCCCACUGGGCCGGUACUGACGCUGAGGCGCGAAGGCGUGGGGAGCGAACGGG
rnacentral:rRNA from 1 species